rnacentral:rRNA from 1 species
GAUGAACGCUGGCGGCGUGCCUAAUACAUGCAAGUCGAGCGAACAGAUGAGGAGCUUGCUCCUCUGACGUUAGCGGCGGACGGGUGAGUAACACGUGGAUAACCUACCUAUAAUACUGGGAUAACUUCGGGAAACCGGAGCUAAUACCGGAUAAUAUAUUGAACCGCAUGGUUCAAUAGUUAAAGACGGUUUUGCUGUCACUUAUAGAUGGUUCCGCGCCGCAUUAGCUAGUUGGUAAGGUAACGGCUUACCAAGGCAACGAUGCGUAGCCGACCUGAGAGGGUGAUCGGCCACACGGGAACUGAGACACGGUCCAGACGCCUACGGGAGGCAGCAGUAGGGAAUCUUCCGCAAUGGGCGAAAGCCUGACGGAGCAACGCCGCGUGAGUGAUGAAGGUCUUCGGAUCGUAAAACUCUGUUAUUAGGGAAGAACAAAUGUGUAAGUAACUAUGCACGUAUUGACGGUACCGAAUCAGAAAGCCACGGCUAACUACGUG